rnacentral:ncRNA from 1 species
GAUAGCUGGAACUUACGGCAGUUUUAUCAGGUAAAGCGAAUGAUUAGAGGUCUUAGGGUUAAAACAACCUUAACCUAUUCUCAAACUUUAAAUUGGUAAGAAGUCCGACUUGCUUAAUUGAAGCCGGACAGUGAAUGCGAGUUCCUAGUGGGCCAUUUNUGGUAAGCAGAACUGGCGAUGCGGGAUGAACCGAACGCGCGGUUAAGGUGCCAAAGUCGACGCUCAUCAGACCCCACAAAAGGUGUUGGUUGCUCUAGACAGCAGGACGGUGGCCAUGGAAGUUGGAAUCCGCUAAGGAGUGUGUAACAACUCACCUGCCGAAGCAACUAGCCCUGAAAAUGGAUGGCGCUCAAGCGUCGCACCUAUACCGUGCCGUCGGAGCAGAUGCGAAGCUCCGACGAGUAGGAGGGCGUGGGGGUCGUGACGCAGCCUCUGGCGCGAGCCUGGGUGAAACGGCCUCCAGUGCAGAUCUUGGUGGUAGUAGCAAAUAUUCAAAUGAGAGCUUUGAAGACCGAAGUGGAGAAAGGUUCCAUGUGAACAGCAGUUGGACAUGGGUUAGUCGAUCCUAAGAGAUAGGGAAAUUCCGUUUGCAAGCGCCCGAUCUUGGGCCGCCUAUCGAAAGGGAAUCGGGUUAAUAUUCCCGAACCGGGACGCGGAUAUUGCCGUUCGCGGCAAAUGCGGUAACGCAAACGAACCCGAAGACGCUGGCGGGGGCCCUGGGAAGAGUUCUCUUUUCUUUUUAACGAGCUUUCACCCUGAAAUCAGCUUGCCUGGAGAUAGGGUUUAAUGCUCGGUAAAGCACCACACUUCUUGUGGUGUCCGGUGCGCUCUCGACGGCCCUUGAAAAUUCGGGGAAGACAUUGAUUUUCGUGUCCGGUCGUACUCAUAACCGCAGCAGGUCUCCAAGGUGAGCAGCCUCUGGUUGAUAGAACAAUGUAGGUAAGGGAAGUCGGCAAAAUAGAU